GAUGAACGCUAGCGGCAGGCUUAACACAUGCAAGUCGAGGGGUAGAGGAAGCUUGCUUCCUUGAGACCGGCGCACGGGUGCGUAACGCGUAUGCAACCUACCUUUUACAGAGGGAUAGCCCAGAGAAAUUUGGAUUAAUACCUCAUAGUAUAUAGUCUUCGCAUGUUGACUAUAUUAAAGUUCCAACGGUAAAAGAUGGGCAUGCGUCCUAUUAGCUAGAUGGUAAGGUAACGGCUUACCAUGGCAACGAUAGGUAGGGGUCCUGAGAGGGAGAUCCCCCAAACUGGUACUGAGACACGGACCAGACUCCUACGGGAGGCAGCAGUGAGGAAUAUUGGACAAUGGGCGCAAGCCUGAUCCAGCCAUGCCGCGUGCAGGAAGAAGCAUCUAUGGUGUGUAAACUGCUUUUGUACAGGAAGAAACACCCCGACGUGUCGGGACUUGACGGUACUGUAAGAAUAAGGAUCGGCUAACUCCGUGCCAGCCGCCGCGGUAAUAC
rnacentral:rRNA from 1 species